rnacentral:rRNA from 1 species
UACGUAGGUGGCGAGCGUUGUCCGGAUUUACUGGGCGUAAAGAGCGCGCAGGCGGUCGUUCAAGUCGCGUGUGAAAGCCCCCGGCUCAACUGGGGAGGGUCACGCGAUACUGAUCGACUCGAAGGCAGGAGAGGGUAGUGGAAUUCCCGGUGUAGUGGUGAAAUGCGUAGAUAUCGGGAGGAACACCAGUGGCGAAGGCGACUACCUGGCCUGUUCUUGACGCUGAGGCGCGAAAGCGUGGGGAUCAAACAGG